rnacentral:rRNA from 1 species
GUGUCAGCAGCCGCGGUAAUACCGGCAGCUCAAGUGAUGACCGAUUUUAUUGGGCCUAAAGCGUCCGUAGCUGGCCGCGCAAGUCUGUCGGGAAAUCCACCCGCUUAACGGGUGGGCGUCCGGCGGAAACUGUGCGGCUUGGGACAGGAAGGCUCGAGGGGUACGUUCGGGGUAGGAGUGAAAUCCCGUAAUCCUGGACGGACCGCCGAUGGCGAAAGCACGUCGCGAGGACGGAUCCGACAGUGAGGGACGAAAGCCAGGGUCUCGAACCGGAUUAGAAACCCCCGUAGUCC